rnacentral:tRNA from 1 species
ACCUGGGUGGCUCAGUCGGUUGAGCGUCCGACUUCAGCUCGGGUCAUGAUCUCAUGGUUCGUGAGUUCGAGCCCCGCAUCGGGCU